GACGAACGCUGGCGGCGUGCCUAAUACAUGCAAGUCGAACGGACAGACCCUGCGUUUGCUCCGUGCACGAUAGCCGAAGAGGUGAGUGACACGUGAGUAACCUGCACUUAUAUGACGGAUAACAUCACGAAACUGGGGCGAAUACCCCAGAUGAGCUCCUGAACCAUAUUGUUGGAUGGAAAAUUACGGCGGUUGGGGAUGGACUCGCGGGUCAUCAGCUAGUUGGUGUGGUAGGGGCUGACCAAGGUUUUGACGGGUAGCCGGCCUGGGAGGGUGACCGGGCACAAGGGGACUGCGGUAGGGCGCAGACGCCAACGGGCGGCAGCGGUGGAAAACAUUACGCAAUGGGCGGACGCCUGAUACAGAGACCUCGCGUGCGGGAUGCCCGCCUUCGGGGUGUAAACCGCUUUCGCCUGUGACGAAGCGGGAGUGACGGUAAUGGGUAAGGAAGCCCCGGCUAACUACGUG
rnacentral:rRNA from 1 species